GGGGGAAUAAAUGAACAGGUGACCAUAUAAUCAAGGACUGACUGUACCGGGAUCACUUCCUGUCUUCCUUGAUUCUCCCUUGAAUCCUUGUCUUACGCCCUUUCACUAAGUUAUUCAAGGAAGAUUGUCAAGUGCCACAAGGUCACCCGGAAACGCACUCUGCAGUCCAGAGGGCACAGAGAUGGGCACAGCGCACGCAGUCCCUGAAGAGCCCACCUGCUCUCACCGCACCUUCCAGCAACGGGAACACCCCUAACUUAAUGCUAAAAGCCCACCUGCAAUCAGAGAUGACCUGUGGAUAUACAGGUCUAUGGCAGUCCAGAUCGAAUCCUUUCUUUUUCACAAGUAGUAAAUCGUAAGGAAAACCUC